rnacentral:rRNA from 1 species
UACGGAGGGUGCAGGCGUUAUCCGGAUUCACUGGGGUUAAAGGGUGCGUAGGUGGCUUGUUAAGUCAGUGGUGAAAGCUCGGAGCUCAACUCCGGAACUGCCAUUGAUACUGCUUAGCUUGAAUCAGGUCGAGGUGGAUGGAAUAUUACAUGUAGCGGUGAAAUGCUUAGAUAUGUAAUAGAACACCGAUUGCGAAGGCAGUUCACUAGGCCCGUAUUGACACUGAGGCACGAAAGCGUGGGGAUCAAACAGG